rnacentral:tRNA from 1 species
GCCUUCGCAGUGUAGUAGUCAGCACGCUCGACGCGUAUUCGAGAGGUCCGAGGUUCGAGUCCCAGCGAGGGCA